rnacentral:rRNA from 1 species
GAUGAACGCUGGCGGCGUGCCUAAUACAUGCAAGUCGAGCGAACGGACGCUAAGCUUGCUUUUCUGAUGUUAGCGACGGACGGGUGAGUAACACGUGGAUAACCUACCUAUAAGACUGGGAUAACUUCGAGAAACCGUAGCUAAUACCGGAUAAUAUUUUGAACCGCAUGGUUCAAAAGUGAAAUCCGGUCUUGCUGUCCCUUAUAGCUGGAUUCGUGCUGCAUUGGCUAGUUGGUAAGGUAACGGCUUACCAAGGCAGCGAUGGAUGGCCGAUCUGAGAGGGGGAUCCGCCACAGUGGAGGUGAGACGCGGUACAGACUCCUAGGGGAGGCAGCAGUAGGGACGGUUCCGCAAUGGGCGAAAGCCUGACGGAGCAACGCAGCGUGAGUGAUGAAGGGCUUCGGAUCGGAAAACUCUGUUAUUAGGGAAGAACAUAUGUGUAAGGAACUGAGCAUAUCGUGACGGUACCUAAUCAGAAAGCCACGGCUAACUACGUG